GAUGAACGCUGGCGGCGUGCUUAACACAUGCAAGUCGAACGGAAAGGCCCAAGCUUGCUUGGGUACUCGAGUGGCGAACGGGUGAGUAACACGUGGGUGAUCUGCCCUGCACUUCGGGAUAAGCCUGGGAAACUGGGUCUAAUACCGGAUAGGACGAUGGUUUGGAUGCCAUUGUGGAAAGUUUUUUCGGUGUGGGAUGAGCUCGCGGCCUAUCAGCUUGUUGGUGGGGUAAUGGCCUACCAAGGCGUCGACGGGUAGCCGGCCUGAGAGGGUGUACGGCCAGAUUGGGACUGAGAUGCGGCCCAGACUCCUACGGGAGGCAGCAGUGGGGAAUAUUGCACAAUGGGCACAAGCCGGAUGCAGCGACGCCGCGUGGGGGAUGACGGCCUUCGGGUUGUAAACUCCUUUCGCUAGGGACGAAGCGUUUUUGUGACGGUACCUGGAGAAGAAGCACCGGCUAACUACGUG
rnacentral:rRNA from 1 species